rnacentral:sRNA from 1 species
GUGCAGUGGCACAUGUAUGUAGUCCCAGCUACUCGGGAGUCCAGAAGUUCUGGGCUGUGGUGCACCCUGCCCCUCCCGUGUCCACACCAAGUGGGCAUCAAUGUGGUGACCUCCUGGGAGCAGGGGACCGCCAGGCUGCCUAAGGAGGGAUGAGUCAGCUCAGGUUGGAAAUGGAGCAGGUCAAAACUCCUACACUGAUCAGUGGUGGGAUAGCUACUGUGAAUUGCCACUGCACACCAGCCUGAGCAACA